rnacentral:tRNA from 1 species
GCCUUCCUGGUGUAGUGGUCAGCACACUCGGCUUGUAUUCGAGAGGUUCGUGGUCGAUCCUGGAGAGGGCA